AUACGUUCCCGGACCUUGCACACACCGCCCGUCAAGCCAUGGAAGCUGGGUGUACCUAAAGUCGGUAACCGCAAGGAGCCGCCUAGGGUAAAACUAGUGACUGGGGCU
rnacentral:rRNA from 1 species